AAUCACCAGGCCACGGAGCGGAGGCCGCGCAGGACAACAGCGUCCGGAGCCAAAUCACAAAUAUCAGCCUCGCCGCUCCGGGGCGGGGAGGUGAGCGCCUUUCCCAUUUAAGGAUUCCAGAAGCGUCCCCGGAGCGACUUUCGCCCACUCCGCAUCCCCAAACUCGGCCUGCAACCCGCGAGUGGGAGACAAAAGAGGGGCCGGCGGAGGACGCGGCGCGGGGUGCCGUGGGUCUCUGGCUGGGCGGUCCCGGCCCAGCGCGCGCCGAGGCCUGCGGAGCUGCCGGGGCCGGGCCGGGCAGCCCCUGGCUCCGGCCACCGCGCGCCCAGCUGCCUCUGCAGCCUCGCCCGAGCCCCUCUGGCCUCCCAGCUGCGGCCAGCCCCUCCCGGUCCGCACGCGCACUCCCAACUCACCCGGACCCCAGGGAACGCAUCCUCCAGCCCUCGGCGCGGAGCGGGUGGGCGCGGCGAGCCGCCGGGGCGAAGCGGGGCCCGGAUCGGCCUUCGCCCUUGGCGUGCAGCGGCCCCGACCCGGUCGCCCCUCGAUCGGGCCGUGCGAUCUUCGCCGCGCGCGGACGGACGCGCCGAGCCUAAGCCUUCCUGCCCGCCCUUGGCCCUCCUCCCUCCUCGCUCCUGCCUCCUCCCUUCUCCUUCUCCAAGCCCGG
rnacentral:lncRNA from 1 species